rnacentral:rRNA from 1 species
AACGAACGCUGGCGGCAGGCUUAACACAUGCAAGUCGAGCGCCCCGCAAGGGGAGCGGCAGACGGGUGAGUAACGCGUGGGAAUCUACCGUGCCCUACGGAAUAGCUCCGGGAAACUGGAAUUAAUACCGUAUACGCCCUACGGGGGGAAAGAUUUAUCGGGGGGUAUGAUGAGCCCGCGUUGGAUUAGCUAGUUGGUGGGGUAAAGGCCUACCAAGGCGACGAUCCAUAGCUGGUCUGAGAGGAUGAUCAGCCACAUUGGGACUGAGACACGGCCCAAACUCCUACGGGAGGCAGCAGUGGGGAAUAUUGGACAAUGGGCGCAAGCCUGAUCCAGCCAUGCCGCGUGAGUGAUGAAGGUCUUAGAUUGUAAAGCUCUUUCACCGGUGAAGAUAAUGACGGUAACCGGAGAAGAAGCCCCGGCUAACUUCGUGCCAGCAGCCGCGGUAAUACGAAGGGGCUAGCGUUGUUCGGAAUUACUGGGCGUAAAGCGCACGUAGGCGGAUAUUUAAGUCAGGGGUGAAAUCCCAGAGCUCAACUCUGGAACUGCCUUUGAUACUGGGUAUCUUGAGUAUGGAAGAGGUGAGUGGAAUUCCG